GCUAAACAGCUAGCUUAAACACCUAAAUAACCAACACAACAUUAAAACAUUUCACAAGACUACAACAUCUUAAACUAAAACAUUCUACCGCCCAAGUACGUGAGACAGAAAAGGCGCCUUAUUAAAGCUUUAGCAAAAGUACCGCAAGGGAAUGCUGAAAGAGAAAUGAAACAAAUCAUUAAAGCACAACAAAGCAGAGAUUAAAUCUCGUACCUUUUGCAUCAUGAUUUAGCUAACCAAUAUGAGCAAAGCGUACUUUAGUUCAAGCCCCCGAAACUAAGUGAGCUACCCCGAGACAGCCUAUCAAUUAGGGCCAACCCGUCUCUGUGGCAAAAGAGUGGGAAGAUCUCCGGGUAGAGGUGACAAACCUACCGAACUUAGUUAUAGCUGGUUGCCUAGGAAAUGAAUAGAAGUUCAGCCCCGCACUCCUCAACUCACUACAAACAUAUACAACACGAGUCAGAGAAAUACGCGGGAGUUAGUCAUAGGGGGUACAGCCCCUAUGAAUUAGGAUACAACCUCUACAGGAGGUUAUAGAUUAUAUUAACCAAGAUAUGCCGCUCUAGUGGGCCUAAAAGCAGCCAUCUAAACAGAAAGCGUUAAAGCUCCGGCAGAUUAAAAAUCUAUUAUCCAAAUAUUAUAUCUAAAACCCCUAACCAUACUAGGCUAUCCCAUGCCCACAUGGAAGAAAUACUGCUAAAAUGAGUAAUAAGAAGUAAAACAUACUUCUCCUGGCCUACGUGUAUGCUAGAUCGGACCUUCCACUAGCAAUUACCGAACCCAACAAAAGAGGGGAUUAUGGACAUAUUAAACAACAAGAAAUCACCAUAUAACCAAAUCGUUAACCCCACACUGGAAGGCCUUUAAAGGAAAGACUAAAAGAAAAGGAAGGAACUCGGCAAACAUAAGCCUCGCCUGUUUACCAAAAACAUCGCCUCCUGCAAAACACAAUGUAUAGGAGGUCUUGCCUGCCCAGUGACAAGUUAAACGGCCGCGGUAUUUUGACCGUGCGAAGGUAGCGCAAUCACUUGUCUUUUAAAUGAAGACCCGUAUGAAUGGCGGAACGAGGGCUUAACUGUCUCCCUUUUCAAGUCAAUGAAAUUGAUCUGCCCGUGCAGAAGCGGACAUAUAAAUACAAGACGAGAAGACCCUUUGGAGCUUAAGAUACAAGAUCAUCUACGUCAAGGGGCCUUAAAUUUAAGCCAAACUAAGUAACAUCUGAUCUAUAUCUUCGGUUGGGGCGACCACGGGAGAAAACAAAGCUCCCAUGCGGACCGGGGGUUAUAACCCCUAAACCCAAGAAAGACAUUUCUAAGUCACAGAACAUCUGACCACAAAGAUCCGGCUUACCGGCCGAUCAACGGACCAAGUUACCCUAGGGAUAACAGCGCAAUCCCCUUUCAGAGUCCAUAUCGACAAGGGGGUUUACGACCUCGAUGUUGGAUCAGGACAUCCUAAUGGUGCAGCCGCUAUUAAGGGUUCGUUUGUUCAACGAUUAAAGUCCUACGUGAUCUGAGUUCAGACCGGAGCAAUCCAGGUCAGUUUCUAUCUGUAAUGCUGCUUCUUCCUAGUACGAAAGGACCGGAAAAAGAGGGCCCAUAUUAUCAAUACGCCCCACCCCCAUUUAAUGAAAACAACUAAAUUAAAUAAAGGGAGAGCACAACCCAAAAAUCAAGAUAAGAUUAUUAAGA
rnacentral:rRNA from 1 species